rnacentral:rRNA from 1 species
UAAGUAAAGUCUUAUGUGUGAGUUGGAUAUAGUAAUAAAUUGUUUGUUUAUUUAAUAAAAAUAAUUUUAUAAUGUGGGAAGUUAUUGUAUUGUAUAAAAAUAUAAUUAUUGGAAUGAUAGAGUAAUAGUAUUGUGAAAGAGUGAUGAAAUAAGUGAAAAUAUAUUUUAUGAAAAGUAGAUUUGUUUUGUUUUACCUUGUGUAUCAGGGUUUAUUAAAAUUUUUCUUUUGAAUAAAGAAUUCCCGAUUUGAAGAGAGUUAAUUUAGCUAGCUGGUUAAUGUGGAAUAAUUUAUCAGUAAAGUUAAGUUGGCAAUGAAAUGUUAUUCGUUCUUCAAGGUAUCUGGUUUUUUCAGAAAUAAAUUUAAUUUAGCUGUAAAUGAGGAAAUAUCUAAGUAUUUAGGUUAUUUUUAUUUGAUAGUAAUGGUUUAAGGGAUAAGCUUUAAGUUAAAUUAUUAUAAUAGGGGAAUUUAAGUGUAUGAAUUGUAGGUUUAGAAAUAGCCACCAUAUUAAAAUAGUGUUAUAAUUUAUUUAUACGUGAAAUUAUUUCUUUAAAUUUUAAUUGUUUAUGAGAAUUUUGGGUUUAAUAGUUAAUCUUAAUUAAUAAUGAUGAAAUUAGUAUGAUGUGAUGUAUUAUUAAUAUGGGCUCGAAAGGUUGUAUUAAGGAAUUAGGCAAAUUGAUGCUUGCCUGUUUAACAAAAACAUGGUUUCAUGAAAAGAAUUUGAAAUCUGGCCUGCCCACUGAAAUUAUUGAAGGGCCGCGGUAUUUUGACCGUGCAAAGGUAGCAUAAUCAUUAGUCUUUUAAUUGAAGGCUGGUAUGAAUGGUUGGACAAGGUAUCGACUGUCUCAAUGUGAAUGAAGUUAGAAUUUAAUUUUUAGGUCAAAAAGCUUAAAUGAUUUUAAGGGACGAGAAGACCCUAUAGAGCUUUAGGGUGUAUGUUGUAUAGAAUUUUUAGUUGUGGAUUGGUUUAUGUUAGAUGCAUUAUUUUAUUGGGGUGAUAGGAAGAUAAGAAGAACUCUUUUUAUUUAGUUGGACAUUAAUUAGUGAGUAAUUGAUCCAUUAAUAGUGAUUAUAAGAUUGAGUUACCUUAGGGAUAACAGCGUAAUCCUUUUUUAGAGUUCUUAUCGGCAAAAGGGAUUGCGACCUCGAUGUUGGAUUAAGAUAAAAUUUGGGCGCAGAAGUUCAAUGUUUAGGUCUGUUCGACCUUUAAAUUCUUACAUGAUCUGAGUUCAGACCGGCGUGAGCCAGGUCGGUUUCUAUCUUUAAAUUUUAUAGGUGUUUUAGUACGAAAGGACCAAAUACUUAAGAGAAUUUCUUUGUUUUACGAUUAAAAUCAAUGU